rnacentral:rRNA from 1 species
CCUACGGGAGGCAGCAGUGGGGAAUAUUGCACAAUGGGCGCAAGCCUGAUGCAGCCAUGCCGCGUGCGUGAAGAAGGCCUUCGGGUUGUAAAGCACUUUCAGCGGGGAGGAAGGCGGUGAGGUUAAUAACCUCAUCGAUUGACGUUACCCGCAGAAGGAGCACCGACUAACUCCGUGCCAGCAGCCGCGGUAAUACGGAGGGUGCAAGCGUUAAUCGGAAUUACUGGGCGUAAAGCGCACGCAGGCGGUCUGUCAAGUCGGAUGUGAAAUCCCCGGGCUCAACCUGGGAACUGCAUUCGGAAACUGGCAGGCUAGAGUCUUGUAGAGGGGGGUAGAAUUCCAGGUGUAGCGGUGAAAUGCGUAGAGAUCUGGAGGAAUACCGGUGGCGAAGGCGGCCCCCUGGACAAAGACUGACGCUCAGGUGCGAAAGCGUGGGGAGCAAACAGGAUUAGAUACCCGAGUAGUC